AGUGCGACUUCGCACUUAGGCGGAGCGGUAGUGUGAGGAAGCCUCCCGCCAAACAGACGAGAGAGGAAGAGGAGGGGAGGGGCCAGAGAGAGAAGCGGCUUUCGGGAAGGAAAGUGUGGUCUAUUGUUUUUUUUUUUCUUCUCCAGAAUGUCCCUCUAUUUGGAUUUGGAUUACAAAAGUUCAACAAUUUUUGGAAAAAUCCUACCUAGGUAAUGUGUCGUUCUCAGUGCAUCAUGUCAGGCAGCUUAUGAUGCCAAUUUGUCCCAUGGCCCCCCUGAGAGAAUCUUCGGCACAUAUGAUGCCCUCUAUUGAUGUUUGCUGAAUAGAUGAGGAUGCCAAAAGAGGGAGGAGAUACCAAAAGAGGGAAAGAAGGACACCCAGAAGACAAAUGGUGCUCACCUUGAGCCUCGAGGUCUUUAGGAAAACGGUGACUCUGGAGCACAGCCCUGGAUCCCUGAUGGCAGGUGGAUGAAUCUGCUCACCACCUGGAUGCUGCUAGUCCUUUCUCCAGCUCCGUGACUGAAAAUGUGCUUUACUUCGCAAAAGCUAUUUCUCCUCAGAA
rnacentral:antisense_RNA from 1 species